rnacentral:rRNA from 1 species
CCUACGGGUGGCAGCAGUGAGGAAUAUUGGUCAAUGGCCGAGAGGCUGAACCAGCCAAGUCGCGUGAGGGAAGAAUGUCCUAUGGAUUGUAAACCUCUUUUUUCAGGGAGCAAAGUCACCCACGUGUGGGUGUUGGAGAGUACCUUAAGUAAAAGCAUCGGCUAACUACGUGCCAGCAGCCGCGGUAAUACGGAGGAUGCGAGCGUUAUCCGGAUUUAUUGGGUUUAGAGGGUGCGUAGGCGGGUUAUCAAGUCAGCGGUAAAAUCGUGGAGCUCAACUCCAUCCAGCCGUUGAAACUGUUGAUCUUGAGUGGGAGAGAGGUAUGCGGAAUGCGUGGUGUAGCGGUGAAAUGCAUAGAUAUAACGAAGAACACCGAUUGCGAAGGCAGCAUACCGGCGCCCGACUGACGCUGAAGGACGAAAGCGUGGGUAUCGAACAGGAUUAGAUACCCUGGUAGUC